rnacentral:lncRNA from 1 species
CGUAGUUCCGUGGAAUUGAGAUCUAAGAAAAGAAGGCCAAAUCGGAAAAGGUUUUGAAUCCUUAGAUCCGGAAAAACAAAUGCCAAAAAAGUUUUAUUGGAAGAAAAAAGCAAACACAAAAGAAGAGAAAUAAAAAAUUUUGGGGCUUUCCACCGGUAGAGAUCCGGUGGAAACCCCCGCUGCUAUUAAGCAAAGAAAGGGACAGAGGAGGGGAAAUUAGGGUUU